CUACGGGACGCAGCAGUGAGGAAUAUUGCACAAUGGGGGGAACCCUGAUGCAGCAACGCCGCGUGGAGGAUGACGCAUUUCGGUGUGUAAACUCCUUUUAUAUGUCAAGAAAAUGACGGUAGCAUAUGAAUAAGCACCGGCUAACUCCGUGCCAGCAGCCGCGGUAAUACGGAGGGUGCAAGCGUUACUCGGAAUCACUGGGCGUAAAGGACGCGUAGGCGGGUUGGAAAGUCAGGUGUGAAAUCCUACAGCUUAACUGUAGAACUGCACUUGAAACUUCUAAUCUAGAGUAUGGGAGGGGCAGAUGGAAUUAGUGGUGUAGGGGUAAAAUCCGUAGAUAUCACUAGGAAUACCUAAAGCGAAGGCGAUCUGCUGGAACAUAACUGACGCUAAGGCGUGAAAGCGUGGGGAGCAAACAGGAUUAGAUACCCUCGUAGUC
rnacentral:rRNA from 1 species